UACAGAGGGGGCAAGCGUUGUUCGGAAUUACUGGGCGUAAAGGGCGCGUAGGCGGCCUGCUAAGUCGAACGUGAAAUCCCUGGGCUCAACCCAGGAACUGCGUCCGAUACUGGUUGGCUUGAAUCCGGGAGAGGGAUGUGGAAUUCCAGGUGUAGCGGUGAAAUGCGCAGAUAUCAGGAGGAACACCGGUGGCGAAGGCGGAUCUCUGGGCCUUACCUGACGCUCAGGCGCGAAAGCUAGGGGAGCGAACAGG
rnacentral:rRNA from 1 species